rnacentral:tRNA from 1 species
UCCCUGGUGGCUCAAAUGAUAAAGAGUCUGCCUGCAAUGUAGGAGAUGCAGGUUUGAUCCCUGUUUCGGGAA